rnacentral:rRNA from 1 species
ACAGCAGCAGCCACGGGAAUACGGAGGGAGCUAGCGUUGUUCGGAAUUACUGGGCGUAAAGCGCGCGUAGGCGGUUACUCAAGUCAGAGGUGAAAGCCCGGGGCUCAACCCCGGAACUGCCUUUGAAACUAGGUGACUAGAAUCUUGGAGGGGUCAGUGGAAUUCCGAGUGUAGAGGUGAAAUUCGUAGAUAUUCGGAAGAACACCAGUGGCGAAGGCGACUGACUGGACAAGUAUUGACGCUGAGGUGCGAAAGCGUGGGGAGCAAACAGGAUUAGAUACCCCUGUAGUCCCUGUCUCUUAUAA